rnacentral:rRNA from 1 species
AUUGGAGGGCAAGUCUGGUGCCAGCAGCCGCGGUAAUUCCAGCUCCAAUAGCGUAUAUUAAAGUUGUUGUGGUUAAAAAGCUCGUAGUUGGAUCUCAGUUCGUGUCGGAUGGUGCGUCCUUGUUGGCGUUUAACUGUCUUGAUCGGACGUUCGCCUUCGUCGUGUUGCGGUGUCCUUAACCGGGUGUCGUAGUCGGUUGGCUGUUUACUUUGAAAAAAUUAGAGUGCUCAAAGCAGGUAUGUGCUUGAAUAAUGUUGCAUGGAAUAAUGAAAUAGGACUUUGGUUCUAUUUUGUUGGUCUUCGGAGCCGAGGUAAUGAUUAAGAGGGACAGACGGGGGCAUUAGUAUUGCGACGAUAGAGGUGAAAUUCUUGGACCGUCGCAAGACUAACUAAAGCGAAAGCAUUUGCCAAGAAUGUUUUCAUUAAUCAAGAACGAAAGUAG